UGGGUCGGCUGGACGGUCGCGUGGCGCGAGAGCGCACCGAGGAACGUCCGGGCUCCACAGGGCAGGGCGGUGGGUAACACCCACCCGGAGUGAUCCGCGAGACAGUGCCACAGAGAGCAGACCGCCCGGGUUUCGACCCGGGUAAGGGUGAAAGGGUGGUGUAAGAGACCACCGGGGUCGUGGUGACACGACCCGCACGGUAAACCUCGCCCGGAGCAAGGCCAGACAGGGGAUGUUGACGCGGCUCGCCGAGUCCCCGGGUAGGCCGCUGGAGCGGCGCGGCAACGCGUCGCCGAGAGAGAUGACCGUCCACGGGGUUUCGGCCCCCGGACAGAACCCGGCGUACAGGUCGGCCCAUUCG
rnacentral:RNase_P_RNA from 1 species